rnacentral:rRNA from 1 species
AAUGAACGUUGGCGGCGUGGAUUAGGCAUGCAAGUCGGACGAGAAUCUCCCGCAAGGGAGAGGACAGUGGCAAACGGGGUAGUAAGGCGUAGGUGACGUACCCUCCGGACCGGGAUAGUCAGGGGAAACCCUGGGUAAUACCGGAUGAUCUCUUAGGGCAUGAUCGCUUUGGGAGCAAAGGUGUGAUUCCACCGGGGGAGCGGCUUACGUAGUAUUAGCUAGUUGGUGAGGUAACGGCUCACCAAGGCGACGAUGCUUAGGGGAUGUGAGAGCAUGAUCCCCACCACUGGGACUGAGAUACUGCCCAGACACCUACGGGUGGCUGCAGUCGAGAAUCUUCGGCAAUGGGCGCAAGCCUGACCGAGCGACGCCGCGUGCGGGAUGAAGGCCCUUGGUUGUAAACCGCUGUCAGAGGGAUGAAGUGCGGGUGAGUAAUUCAUAAUCUCAUCC